rnacentral:rRNA from 1 species
AUUGGACGCUGGCGGCAGGCCUAACACAUGCAAGUCGAGCGGUAACACAGGGAGCUUGCUCCUGGGUGACGAGCGGCGGACGGGUGAGUAAUGUCUGGGAAACUGCCUGAUGGAGGGGGAUAACUACUGGAAACGGUAGCUAAUACCGCAUAACGUCGCAAGACCAAAGAGGGGGACCUUCGGGCCUCUUGCCAUCAGAUGUGCCCAGAUGGGAUUAGCUAGUAGGUGGGGUAACGGCUCACCUAGGCGACGAUCCCUAGCUGGUCUGAGAGGAUGACCAGCCACACUGGAACUGAGACACGGUCCAGACUCCUACGGGAGGCAGCAGUGGGGAAUAUUGCACAAUGGGCGCAAGCCUGAUGCAGCCAUGCCGCGUGUAUGAAGAAGGCCUUCGGGUUGUAAAGUACUUUCAGCGGGGAGGAAGGCGAUAAGGUUAAUAACCUUGUCGAUUGACGUUACCCGCAGAAGAAGCACCGGCUAACUCCGUGCCAGCAGCCGCCGUAA